GUACUCAUUUCAGCAGCACAUAUACUAAAAUUGGAACAAUAAAGAGAAUAUUAGCAUGGUCCCUGAGCAAGGAUGACACACAACUUCAUGAAGCAUUCCAUAUUUUU
ensembl:snRNA U6 U6 spliceosomal RNA